rnacentral:rRNA from 1 species
UACGAGUGGGGCUAGCGUUAUUCGUAAUGACUGGGCGUAAAGGGUACGUAGGUGGUUUUUUGUAUAUAAAAUUUAAAUCUUGUGGUUUGACAUAAAAGUUUUUUAUAUAGUAAAUUGCUAGAGUAAAUAUGCCCAGGUUCUUAGAAUUUUUCUCAUAGGGUUAAAAUCUGUGUAUAUUUUUAGAAGAGUGAAGGAAUGCCGUAAUGGUGAAGACGUUGGGCUGGGGUUUACUGACGCUGAGGAGCGAAAGCGUGGGGAGCGAACAGG